UUUAAUUAAAACAUAAUAAAACAAAGAUCAUAAAACAUUUCUUUUUUCAUUAAUUGUUUCUUGUAGACAUUCAUAAAAAAGCAGCUUGAUCGAGUCUAUGAGGGAACUGUUGUUGGGCGUGGCUUCCUUCACUACGAUUGGCCGGAAUUUGUUCAUGUCAGGCAUCUUGCGCACGAUUUUGAAGGA
rnacentral:ribozyme from 1 species